CCUACGGGAGGCAGCAGUGGGGAAUAUUGGACAAUGGGCGGAAGCCUGAUCCAGCCAUGCCGCGUGUGUGAAGAAGGCCUUAUGGUUGUAAAGCACUUUAAGCGAGGAGGAGGCUACUUUAGUUAAUACCUAGAGAUAGUGGACGUUACUCGCAGAAUAAGCACC
rnacentral:rRNA from 1 species